rnacentral:rRNA from 1 species
GAAAUCAACCGAGAUUCCCCCAGUAGCGGCGAGCGAACGGGGAGCAGCCCAGAGCCUGAAUCAGUGUGUGUGUUAGUGGAAGCGUCUGGAAAGGCGCGCGAUACAGGGUGACAGCCCCGUACACAAAAAUGCACAUGCUGUGAGCUCGAUGAGUAGGGCGGGACACGUGGUAUCCUGUCUGAAUAUGGGGGGACCAUCCUCCAAGGCUAAAUACUCCUGACUGACCGAUAGUGAACCAGUACCGUGAGGGAAAGGCGAAAAGAACCCCGGCGAGGGGAGUGAAAAAGAACCUGAAACCGUGUACGUACAAGCAGUGGGAGCACGCUUAGGCGUGUGACUGCGUACCUUUUGUAUAAUGGGUCAGCGACUUAUAUUCUGUAGCAAGGUUAACCGAAUAGGGGAGCCGAAGGGAAACCGAGUCUUAACUGGGCGUUAAGUUGCAGGGUAUAGACCCGAAACCCGGUGAUCUAGCCAUGGGCAGGUUGAAGGUUGGGUAACACUAACUGGAGGACCGAACCGACUAAUGUUGAAAAAUUAGCGGAUGACUUGUGGCUGGGGGUGAAAGGCCAAUCAAACCGGGAGAUAGCUGGUUCUCCCCGAAAGCUAUUUAGGUAGCGCCUCGUGAAUUCAUCUCCGGGGGUAGAGCACUGUUUCGGCAAGGGGGUCAUCCCGACUUACCAACCCGAUGCAAACUGCGAAUACCGGAGAAUGUUAUCACGGGAGACACACGGCGGGUGCUAACGUCCGUCGUGAAGAGGGAAACAACCCAGACCGCCAGCUAAGGUCCCAAAGUCAUGGUUAAGUGGGAAACGAUGUGGGAAGGCCCAGACAGCCAGGAUGUUGGCUUAGAAGCAGCCAUCAUUUAAAGAAAGCGUAAUAGCUCACUGGUCGAGUCGGCCUGCGCGGAAGAUGUAACGGGGCUAAACCAUGCACCGAAGCUGCGGCAGCGACGCUGAUGCGUUGUUGGGUAGGGGAGCGUUCUGUAAGCCUGUGAAGGUGUGCUGUGAGGCAUGCUGGAGGUAUCAGAAGUGCGAAUGCUGACAUAAGUAACGAUAAAGCGGGUGAAAAGCCCGCUCGCCGGAAGACCAAGGGUUCCUGUCCAACGUUAAUCGGGGCAGGGUGAGUCGACCCCUAAGGCGAGGCCGAAAGGCGUAGUCGAUGGGAAACAGGUUAAUAUUCCUGUACUUGGUGUUACUGCGAAGGGGGGACGGAGAAGGCUAUGUUGGCCGGGCGACGGUUGUCCCGGUUUAAGCGUGUAGGCUGGUUUUCCAGGCAAAUCCGGAAAAUCAAGGCUGAGGCGUGAUGACGAGGCACUACGGUGCUGAAGCAACAAAUGCCCUGCUUCCAGGAAAAGCCUCUAAGCAUCAGGUAACAUCAAAUCGUACCCCAAACCGACACAGGUGGUCAGGUAGAGAAUACCAAGGCGCUUGAGAGAACUCGGGUGAAGGAACUAGGCAAAAUGGUGCCGUAACUUCGGGAGAAGGCACGCUGAUAUGUAGGUGAAGUCCCUCGCGGAUGGAGCUGAAAUCAGUCGAAGAUACCAGCUGGCUGCAACUGUUUAUUAAAAACACAGCACUGUGCAAACACGAAAGUGGACGUAUACGGUGUGACGCCUGCCCGGUGCCGGAAGGUUAAUUGAUAGGGUUAGCCGCAAGGCGAAGCUCUUGAUCGAAGCCCCGGUAAACGGCGGCCGUAACUAUAACGGUCCUAAGGUAGCGAAAUUCCUUGUCGGGUAAGUUCCGACCUGCACGAAUGGCGUAAUGAUGGCCAGGCUGUCUCCACCCGAGACUCAGUGAAAUUGAACUCGCUGUGAAGAUGCAGUGUACCCGCGGCAAGACGGAAAGACCCCGUGAACCUUUACUAUAGCUUGACACUGAACAUUGAGCCUUGAUGUGUAGGAUAGGUGGGAGGCUUAGAAGUGUGGACGCCAGUCUGCAUGGAGCCGACCUUGAAAUACCACCCUUUAAUGUUUGAUGUUCUAACGUUGACCCGUAAUCCGGGUUGCGGACAGUGUCUGGUGGGUAGUUUGACUGGGGCGGUCUCCUCCUAAAGAGUAACGGAGGAGCACGAAGGUUGGCUAAUCCUGGUCGGACAUCAGGAGGUUAGUGCAAUGGCAUAAGCCAGCUUGACUGCGAGCGUGACGGCGCGAGCAGGUGCGAAAGCAGGUCAUAGUGAUCCGGUGGUUCUGAAUGGAAGGGCCAUCGCUCAACGGAUAAAAGGUACUCCGGGGAUAACAGGCUGAUACCGCCCAAGAGUUCAUAUCGACGGCGGUGUUUGGCACCUCGAUGUCGGCUCAUCACAUCCUGGGGCUGAAGUAGGUCCCAAGGGUAUGGCUGUUCGCCAUUUAAAGUGGUACGCGAGCUGGGUUUAGAACGUCGUGAGACAGUUCGGUCCCUAUCUGCCGUGGGCGCUGGAGAACUGAGGGGGGCUGCUCCUAGUACGAGAGGACCGGAGUGGACGCAUCACUGGUGUUCGGGUUGUCAUGCCAAUGGCACUGCCCGGUAGCUAAAUGCGGAAGAGAUAAGUGCUGAAAGCAUCUAAGCACGAAACUUGCCCCGAGAUGAGUUCUCCCUGACUCCUUGA